CUGCUGCAGCUGCUUCUGCUGCAGCUGCUGCUGCUGCAGCUUUUGCUGCUGCAGCUGCUGCUGCUACACCUGUUGCUGCUGCAGCAGCUGCUGCUACACCUGUUGCUGCUGCAGCAGCUGCUGCUACAGCUACUGCUGCUGCAGCUGCUGCUUCUACACCUGUUGCUGCUGCAGCAGCUGCUGCAGCGGUUGCUGAUGCAGCUGCUGCUGCUGCAGCUGCUGCUGCUGCAGCUGCUGCUGGUACUCCAGCUGCUGCUGCUACGGCUC
rnacentral:sRNA from 1 species